CUUCGUAUCGCUCCUUCUCAAAGCGAGGAGGGUUCCUGCUCUUCUUCAUCACCUCGAUGGUCACCUGUGUCACCGCAAACUGAUCCCUGUUGGUCACCUGAGACGCCUGAAAGCCAGGAGAGAUCGAGAAGAACAGUGAGAGUUAUUGGGCCGACAAUAUCAGCAGCUUUAGCCAUGGUGAUGUUUCCUGUUUCCUCAUCGAUCUGGAAAAUAUUUCCUUCAUUUCCUGAGGGUGAAAAAUGAAUGACAUCACCUUAUUUCAGCAGAGCCCUCUUCAAACUUCAAACCAGUGAGAAAAGACAUAAAAUAUAGAAAUCUCUCAUGUGAAAGAACCCAGGCUGAAAACUUGUUGCAAGAAGGUGACUGAAGAAAUUUUUUUUUCAGCCUUUUUAGUUUGUAACUUAUUAAAUCUCUAUAUGUAAAGAUAACAAAACCCAUUAAAAUAAAGGAUUUAAAAAAUA